UGGGGAAUUUUCCGCAAUGGGCGAUAGCCUGACGGAGCAAUACCGCGUGAGGGAGGAAGGCUUUUGGGUUGUAAACCUCUUUUCUCAAGGAAGAAGAUCUGACGUUACUUGAGGAAUCAGCAUCGGCUAACUCCGUGCCAGCAGCCGCCGUAAUACGGAGGAUGCAAGCGUUAUCCGGAAUGAUUGGGCGUAAAGCGUCUGCAGGUGGCUAUGCAAGUGUGCUGUUAAAGAGUGGAGCUCAACUCCAUAAGGGCAGUGGAAACUGCAUAACUAGAGUACGUUCGAGGUAGAGGGAAUUCCGGGGGUAGCGGUGAAAUGCGUAGAUAUCAGGAAGAACACCGGUGGCGAAAGCGCUCUACUAGGCCGUAACUGACACUGAGAGACGAAAGCUAAGGGAGCGAAUGGGAUUAGAUACCCCGGUAGUCC
rnacentral:rRNA from 1 species